rnacentral:rRNA from 1 species
GUGGGGAAUCUUGCGCAAUGGGCGAAAGCCUGACGCAGCCAUGCCGCGUGAAUGAUGAAGGUCUUAGGAUUGUAAAAUUCUUUCACCGGGGACGAUAAUGACGGUACCCGGAGAAGAAGCUCCGGCUAACUUCGUGCCAGCAGCCGCGGUAAUACGAAGGGGGCUAGCGUUGCUCGGAAUUACUGGGCGUAAAGGGCGCGUAGGCGGACAGCUUAGUCAGAGGUGAAAGCCCAGGGCUCAACCUUGGAAUUGCCUUUGAUACUGGCUGUCUUGAGUUUGGGAGAGGUGAGUGGAACUCCGAGUGUAGAGGUGAAAUUCGUAGAUAUUCGGAAGAACACCAGUGGCGAAGGCGACCACCUGGACUGAUACUGACACUGAGGUGCGAAAGCGUGGGGAGCAAACAGGAUUAGAUACCCGGGUAGUCC